UAAUUGAAGAGUUUGAUCAUGGCUCAGAUUGAACGCUGGCGGCAGGCCUAACACAUGCAAGUCGAGCGGUAACAGGAGAAAGCUUGCUUUCUUGCUGACGAGCGGCGGACGGGUGAGUAAUGUAUGGCGAUCUGCCCGAUAGAGGGGGAUAACUACUGGAAACGGUGGCUAAUACCGCAUAAUGUCUACGGACCAAAGCAGGGGCUCUUCGGACCUUGCACUAUCGGAUGAACCCAUAUGGGAUUAGCUAGUAGGUGGGGUAAAGGCUCACCUAGGCGAUGAUCUCUAGCUGGUCUGAGAGGAUGAUCAGCCACACUGGGACUGAGACACGG
rnacentral:rRNA from 1 species